rnacentral:rRNA from 1 species
UCGAGAAUCUUCGGCAAUGGGCGCAAGCCUGACCGAGCGACGCCGCGUGGAGGAUGAAGGCCUUCGGGUUGUAAACUCCUGUCGAGGGGGAGGAAGGCGCAAGCUUGACCGAUCCCUGGAGGAAGCACGGGCUAAGUUCGUGCCAGCAGCCGCGGUAAGACGAACCGUGCGAACGUUAUUCGGAAUCACUGGGCUUAAAGCGCGUGUAGGCGGAUGGGAACGUCGGUAGUUGAAAGCCCCCGGCUCAACCGGGGAAGUGGUGCCGAAACGACCCGUCUGGAGGGACGUAGGGGGACCUGGAACUUCCGGUGGAGCGGUGAAAUGCGUUGAGAUCGGAAGGAACGCCCGUGGCGAAAGCGAGGUCCUGGACGUCUACUGACGCUGAGACGCGAAAGCUAGGGGAGCAAACGGGAUUAGAUACCCCCGUAGUCC